GGAGGCCUCCGGAACGCGUUCCGGUUACUCUUCCGAGCAAAGAAUGGGGCAUUCCUCUCUACCUCUCUCCAAAAAGGAGAGCUUUGCUUAACCGCGGCAACGUCUUUCCUCCUCCCCAGUCCCGCCCCUCUGCGCUGCAGCAGCCAAUCGCCCCGUGACUUGAUUGCUCAGUACCGCGAGCGCGAACUAGAAAGCAGAAGUGCCGCUCAACUGAUGCAGUGUGUGUGCGUGCAAGCAAGCAAGCAAGGCGCAGCAGCUAUAUCACCAAGCCUGCACGGAAGGCAGUCCCGCCGCGCCGAGUAGCAAGACGCAGCCUUAACGUGAAGAAUGGCUUCCUCCCCUCCUCCCUCCAUCCCGCAACUUACCAUUAGCUGUGCGAAGUUAAGAGACGGCGGGAACAGUCGGGCGGCAAUCUAAGCAAGAGGAGGGACCAACCCGAGGAGGAGGAGGAAACCACAAGCGGCAAACGGCUCCUCCUCUGCGAGGCGUCGCCCUUUCCCCGUGGGCGAGGACACCCCAAGAGUAGCUGAAUGAGUUGAGCCGGCUGUAAUGGAUGUUGUCAGAAUUUGUGGAUCAGGUCUCUGAUACACUCCUACCAUUCUUUGGGAGUUGUGUGACAUCUUCCAGAUUUCACCAAGGUGGUGCAGUCGAUGAUCAGGGAGUUAGGAGCAGGAUGCUUUAGUAGAUGAACUCGCGAAGCAAAUAAACUUUCUGAAGAACUUUAACUGACGAGGAGCAACAGACUGAGGCCCAAACGCAAUGGCGGUCGGAAAAGAACUGAAGAACGUGGUGACCAGCUCAUAGCAUGCUGGGGCGUGGAGGCAGGGCUCGAAGACCUGUGGCAUUCUACUGCGAGGGUCCUGCGCAGGCACAGAACCCCAUUCUUAUGUAUCUCAAUCCAGAUCUAUUGUUUCUUAGGCUUUUGAAUGAUUUUAAACCACAAACAAUUCUGUCUCGUACUUUUGGAAACCUAUAAUGGAAAUCUGCGUUACUGGAUGUCCCACAAGCAGCAACAACUGAAUAGUAGCAGAAUUCAGAAAUAUAGUGUGUAUAUAUGAGAAGUGAAUUUUUCACAGAGAAUGUUCAUAUUGAUUAGAUUUGUGUGUCUAUUUUGUAUUCUUGGCAUUCCUGAAGCAAGCUAUGAUGACUUGUACAGCACCAUCUGUUAUGAAUGUGCAUAUGCUGUGCAGAGUUUCAUAAGCAAAUAAGACAAGUCCCUGCCCCCAAAUAGUUGACACUGGGGAAGACAAUGGGGUGGGGAAAAUGACAGAAAAUGAUAGUAAGGUUAAGAUGAGGAAAUGCAGUUACUCAUACUUUGAUAGAGCUGGAGAUCACAAGGGGUUCAGUCAAAUGUUUCACAGAAAAGUGGGAUUUCGGUGUUCAACAGCAGAGGUAGGGGAAGAGUUACAGGCAUAAAGGGCAAUAAGAAAACAUGAACAAAAGUGUUUGGGAAAGUGAGCCAGGCAGUUAAUGGACAGAGUCAGAGAAGCAAAGAUCAUUGACAACAACAUAUACAUCCAGGUAUGGCAAGCCUGUGGAGAACCUUGCAGGGAAGGCACUGUCAUUCUAAUUCUAUUCAGCCAUGAUAUUGUACAUGAAUAUAGAUGUCUGUACACUUGUACAUGUUUGUGUGAAUGACUCUACAUGCAUUCAUUUCCCCCCUCAAAUGCAUAGUAGAGAUAGGAAGUGUAUUAUUGUAUGUGUGUGGAGCAUAAUCUGUGAAUAACUGUACAAGCGUACAGCUCUGUAUGUGUGCACAUAGAUUGUAUGUGCAUUGAACAAAUGUGAAUAGGGCUACUGUGUCAAUCCACUUUUGCCAGCAAAUACUGCCCAUGAUGUAAUGAUAUACAGCUUCUUUGGAAAAAAUGGAGAACAGUAUUCUCUGAGGUGUAUUACACUUGUGUGAGUACUCUCUCUCUCUCUCUCUCUCUCUCUCUCUCUCUCUCUCUCUCUCUCUCUCUCUCUCACACACACACACACACACACACACACACACACACACACACUUGCACGUUUAUAUUUGCUUCACAGAACGUAUGGUCAGACAUACACCUAUCUAAUAGGGUAGUUGCUGUUUCGCCUAUGUAGGAUGGGAGAAGAGAAUCGGCUGGUGUUAAAGUCUGGAUAUACCAGUAACAAGGGUGGUGGAGGGGCUUGUACUUGGAGUUAAUAAAUGUAGCAGUAUUUAAAAAUGGUAUAUCGCCUUCAGUUUUCUGGUUUAAAAAAUGCUUUCGUCUUUCUAGAAAGUGGAAUAUCAGUGGAAUCUGAGAGCAGGAUUUAGAAGGAUGUAUAUUUCUUACUGUAUAUUUCAGUAAACAGGAUUUCUGAAAUAUGUCAUGCCAACUACUACUGAUCGUCCCUUAUCAGCCACAGCCGCAUAUUGGGCAUGUUCUACCAGUAACAUUUAGGCCCAACAGGCCUAACAUGAAGCUGCCUUCUACUGAGUUAGAGUUCAUCUACUGAGUUCAGCUAAAACUGUAUUGUCUACAUGGACUGGAAGCAACUCUU